AGUGAACGCUGGCGAUAGGCCUAACACAUGCAAGUCGAACGGCAGCACAGUAAGAGCUUGCUCUUACGGGUGGCGAGUGGCGGACGGGUGAGGAAUACAUCGGAAUCUACUUUUUCGUGGGGGAUAACGUAGGGAAACUUACGCUAAUACCGCAUACGACCUACGGGUGAAAGCAGGGGAUCUUCGGACCUUGCGCGAUUGAAUGAGCCGAUGUCGGAUUAGCUAGUUGGCGGGGUAAAGGCCCACCAAGGCGACGAUCCGUAGCUGGUCUGAGAGGAUGAUCAGCCACACUGGACCUGAGACACGGUCCAGACUCCUACGGGAGGCAGCAGUGGGGAAUAUUGGACAAUGGGCGCAAGCCUGAUCCAGCCAUCCCGCGUGGGUGAAGAAGGCCUUCGGGUUGUAAAGCCCUUUUGUUGGGAAAGAAAAGCAGCAGGUUAAUACCCCGCUGUUCUGACGGUACCCAAAGAAUAAGCACCGGCUACCUUCGU
rnacentral:rRNA from 1 species